UACGUAGGUGACAAGCGUUGUCCGGAUUUACUGGGCGUAAAGAGCGCGCAGGCGGUCGUUCAAGUCGAGUGUGAAAGCCCCCGGCUCAACUGGGGAGGGUCAUUCGAUACUGAUCGACUCGAAGGCAGGAGAGGGUAGUGGAAUUCCCGGUGUAGAGGUGAAAUUCGUAGAUAUUGGCUGGAACACCGGUGGCGAAAGCGGCUCUCUGGCCCGGUUCUGACGCUGAGGCGCGAAAGCGUGGGGAGCAAAC
rnacentral:rRNA from 1 species